rnacentral:lncRNA from 1 species
CUAUUCCGCAUGACACUGCGGAAUUGCUUCGGCAAUUGCGGCAACGCUUGUCGGUCUGCGGGGCACGAUCACUCGCGCUGGUUCACGUCAGUGGAGUUUUUAAAGAUUUCGCGUGUUCGUCAAUUGAUGGCGGCAGAAUUCGACGACCGCACUGAAAUCGAUAUAUCACAAGCGUCAAGAAUAGUGCUGUCGCGACCGAGUCGAAUAGCAGUGAUCGAAAUUCGAGUGGAAAUGCGUGUUUGAUCGAAGCCUGAGGGAGAACGAGGAGAUGAGGG